rnacentral:rRNA from 1 species
GAUACUGGAAACCGGAGCUAAUACCGGAUAAUAUUUCGAACCGCAUGGUUCGAUAGUGAAAGGUGGUUUUGCUAUCACUUAUAGAUGGACCCGCGCCGUAUUAGCUAGUUGGUAAGGUAACGGCUUACCAAGGCGACGAUACGUAGCCGACCUGAGAGGGUGAUCGGCCACACUGGAACUGAGACACGGUCCAGACUCCUACGGGAGGCAGCAGUG